rnacentral:rRNA from 1 species
AUUGAACGCUGGCGGCAUGCUUUACACAUGCAGGUCGAACGGGCUUGGGGGCUUGCUCCCAAGUUAGUGGCGAACGGGUGAGUAAUACAUCGGAACGUACCGUGUAGUGGGGGAUAACGUAGCGAAAGUUACGCUAAUACCGCAUACGAUCUACGGAUGAAAGCAGGGGACCUUCGGGCCUUGUGCUAUACGAGCGGCCGAUGUCUGAUUAGCUAGUUGGUGAGGUAAAGGCUCACCAAGGCGACGAUCAGUCGCGGGUCUGAGAGGAUGAUCCGCCACACUGGGACUGAGACACGGCCCAGACUCCUACGGGAGGCAGCAGUGGGGAAUUUUGGACAAUGGGCGAAAGCCUGAUCCAGCCAUGCCGCGUGUCUGAAGAAGGCCUUCGGGUUGUAAAGGACUUUUGUCAGGGAGCAAAACUUACCGGUUAAUACCUGGUGAGGCUGAGAGUACCUGAAGAAUAAGCACCGGCUAACUACGUGCCAGCAGCCGCCGUAAUAC